UCCCAAGGAAAGCUAGGAGGCUGUACAGUUAUCUCCCUUGUUGUAACUCUAAACUAUACAACCUACUACCUCAGCCUGGGAG
ncrna:Rattus norvegicus (Norway rat) microRNA rno-mir-3596a precursor